GGGGAAUAUUGGACAAUGGGCGCAAGCCUGAUCCAGCCAUGCCGCGUGAGUGACGAAGGUCUUCGGAUUGUAAAGCUCUUUUGGCGGGGACGAUAAUGACGGUACCCGCAGAAUAAGCCCCGGCUAACUUCGUGCCAGCAGCCGCGGUAAUACGAAGGGGGCUAGCGUUGUUCGGAAUUACUGGGCGUAAAGCGCACGUAGGCGGACUCUUAAGUCAGGGGUGAAAUCCCGGGGCUCAACCUCGGAACUGCCUUUGAUACUGUGAGUCUCGAGACCGGAAGAGGUGAGUGGAAUUCCUAGUGUAGAGGUGAAAUUCGUAGAUAUUAGGAAGAACACCAGUGGCGAAGGCGGCUCACUGGUCCGGUUCUGACGCUGAGGUGCGAAAGCGUGGGGAGCAAAC
rnacentral:rRNA from 1 species